rnacentral:rRNA from 1 species
UACGGGGGGGGCAAGCGUUGUUCGGAAUUACUGGGCGUAAAGGGCGCGUAGGCGGUUUGCUAAGUUGAAUGUGAAAACUCUGGGCUUAACCCAGAGCCUGCAUUCAAUACUGGCAGGCUAGAGUUCUGGAGGGAUAGCGGAAUUCCUGGUGUAGCGGUGAAAAUGCGUAGACUAGCAGGAGGAACACCGGUGGCGAAGGCGGCAUACGCUACGGACG